GUGUCAGCAGCCGCGGUAAUACGAAGGUGGCGAGCGUUGUUCGGAUUCACUGGGCAUAAAGGGCGCGUAGGCGGUCCCGCAAGCAGUGCGUGAAAUCCCACGGCUCAACCGUGGAAUUGCGCUCUGGACUGCGGUUCUAGAGUGCGGGAGGGGGGUGCGGAACUCUAGGUGUAGCGGUGAAAUGCGUAGAUAUCUAGAGGAACACCGGUGGCGAAAGCGACACCCUGGCCCGCAACUGACGCUGAGGCGCGAAAGCGUGGGUAGCAAACAGGAUUAGAAACCCCCGUAGUCC
rnacentral:rRNA from 1 species